ACUUCUCACCCCCUCCUUCUCCCCCACUAGGAUCUGCUCCCACCUUGGCUCCCCGGGAUCUAGCUGCAGUUCGCGAAGUCAAUUUUUUGGUAAUUAGGACUUCGGUGCUUGCGAAUUGCAGUUUAUUUAUGCGGUGUGGAAUGAGGCCUCCAACAGCUUUGAUAUAUGUAAUUAUUCGAGCGGCGGCACACGAGAUCAGCGGUGACGGGGUGGCCUAGCAGGGCAUGCAAGGGCUGCGGGAUGGCGGCGCUCAGGGUCCACGGGAGCGUGAUAGGCGAGGCCCUUGAGUCAGGCUGGCAAUUUGGUCGAGUUUUAGUGGGCCGACCUCUGCCAAAUCCAUGCCCGAAUAGCUAACCGGGUCAACCCACCACCCAACCCCUGGGAUUGCCGGAUGAUCCAUCCCCACACCCGAUGGGUGACCCGACCCAUUCGGGCACCCAUCGAGUCCACAAAAACAUUUCCAUUUUUAAUCCGCCUAGCAUGCAACAAGUUCAAACAAAAUCGGUGAAUGACCUAGAACGAAGCGGUCGUAGUGGGUUCCUCGGCAGAGGUGGCCGCCAGGGAUACGCCGGCGGUGCGCAGGGAGGUCAGGUUGUCCGGAUUUUCUUUCUAACUACGGGUCAUCUGGAUUGGGGGAAGAAGGGUUGGGUUGGGCAGUUUUUCGGAUCUUUAGCAAAUCAUUUUCCGGAUUGGGGAACAAUGGUCGGAUCGUGCAACUCUCUUUUUAUGGAUCUUUAGCGAAUCGUUCUCUACUACCACUUAUGGAUGGCAGUGGUGGGUAAUUGUUUUUCCGGAUCUUCAGCAGAUCAUUUUCCGGAUUGGUGAAAAAGGGUCGGGUCAGGCAGCCUUUUUUAAAACCUUGAUCUUUAGCGAAUCAUUUUCUACCACUUACGGAUUGGUUUUUCUGUUAGCAAAUCAUUUUCCGGAUUGGGGAACAAUGGUCAGUUUGCACAGCUCUUUUUUUUCUCGGAUCUUUAGCAAAUCAUUUUCUACCACUUAUGGAUGGCAAAGGUGGGUAAUUGAUUGCAACUUCAGGGGCAAGGAAGAUCAAGACAGACAUGCAGAAACACAAAUCUCUUUAUCAAUGUUCAAGGAAAGCGCUGAGCAUUGGAAAAUGUUUCGCUUUGUCCCUAAGUGGUAGAUUAAGUGUAUUUGAUAAUUUUGGCCAGAAUUUGGCUAUUUUUGAACUGCUUCUGCUUAGCUGCUUCCGCAAUAAUGGCAGUAUGUCAUUUGUGUUAUUAUUAGGGUCUGUAGGGGAGUUGUUUCCUUCAGAUUCCGGCCAAAUCAUGGAAAGAUGAUCUGCAUUUGGCAAUGUCUAUUUGAACUGAACUACAUUUUACUUGUCAUUUUGCUUGUUGUGUGAACCUGAUGUGUAUUUGCUAUGUUGUGAAGGUCAUUUUAGAUGCUACUUCAACUACCUGUGUGCCAUGUUUCCUAUUUUCCUGUGCAUACUAUUCAAAACAGUCAAAUUCUGGCCAAGUUUGAAAAACGCUCAAGCGCACUUAAGCUCCCAUUGUUCUAUGCUAUGGCCUUCCACUUUUUUGAACAUUAUCCUUUAUUAGUAGGUGUAGAAACACUCCUAGAUUGGUGAUUGUUCCUUGUUCUAGGGUGAAAUUGCUAUGCUGGAGUUGUCUAAAGAUUUAUGCCGUCAUGAUGUUUACUUGUGUUUGUUCAUUGGGUUUUACAAGCUAGAUAUGUUAGGAACCUAUGGGUUGGAGGAAUUAGUCUGUCUAUCUCAAGGCAGGAGGUAGAGGGGGAGUUUCAAAAGUUUGGAAAGACUGAACGUGUUGGAUUCUCCCAUGAUCAAACUUCUGCAUACAUCGACUUUGAGAAGCUGGAAGAUGCUAUUUCUGCUCAUAGAGCCAUGAAUGGGACAAAUUUAGGGGGCAAGGAAUUGUGUGUUGAUUUCCAGAGGUCCAGAGGAAGAGUGGAUCAGUCAGAAGCAGGCAACUUCAACAGUAUAGGAUCAUUGCCACCCAGUGAAAUGGGAGUUGGACGUGCAAAGGGUUCUGCUAGAGUACGAAGGAGAGAGGCAAAAAUUCCUACCAAUGUUCUCCGGGUGGGUUUACCGAAUACACAUAAAGUUAACAAGGAGGCACUAAGGCGGGCUAUGGCAGCACAUGGUGUGGUUACAUACAUCAAAGUUUUUCUAUAAAGGCAGUAUGCUUUUGUGGAGUUUGCAACCAUUGAAGGAGCUUCUAAUGCUAAGAAUCUUCUAGAUGGGCGAUUUUCAAUAAUACAAGGAUUCAUGUUCUUUUCUCCAGCAGUGGAUUUGAUAACCUAAUUAACACCGCUUGUUGGGUUCCCUAGAUCAAAGAUGUACAAUGAUAGUCCACAUGUCGCAUGUGAUUAUUUUGGUGCUGGUCGCAAUAGUCAUGGCAUAUCACAAGGGUAUGAUACUCGAUGUGGAAGGUCAAGAUAAUUAGACUAUGGUGCAAUGCCAAUCACUGGUGGUAUCAUUCCAGCACCUGAAGCUGGAUCAUCUUUGUUGUCUGGACAUUCUGCUCAUAGUGCACUUGAUCCGAGAGAAGCCAAAAGGGUGAGGCUAGAUGCUGGCAUCAACCCUUCUACCAUGUAAGGGCACGCACUGAGGGUCUUCAACUGGGUCAGGUAGCUUUUUUAACCUUGAUCUUUAGUGAAUCAUGUUCUAUGACUUAUGAAUUGUUUUUCCCGGACAUUUAGCAAAUUGUUUUUCGGACUGGGGAACAAGGGUCAGGUCAGGAAUCUCUUUUUUCCUCGGAUCUUUAGCGAAUCGUUUUCUACCACUUAUGUAUGGCAGUGGUGUGUAAUUAUUUGCCACUUCGGGGGCAAAGUCACUAAGAAUGGGCAGAAGCAAAAAUCCAUUUAUCAGUGAUCAAGAAUGUGUUGUGGUAGUGAAGUAUAUUGUGGUCAUUUGUGUUGUGGUAGAGACACUUUCUUUUAUUAGGUUCAAGACGUACGGGCAGAAGCACGAAUCACAGAUACAUAAACUUAUGAUUAUUUGCGUUGUGGUAGAGACACUUUCUUUUAAUAGGGUCAUUCACAAUAUUUCUAUGUUUUGUAGUGAAGUAUAUUAUGCCAAUGAGAUAUUGUAUGCAUACCUUCCUUUUGAGAUGUUUUUAAGAGGGAAAGUUAUUACUAACCUACUCCUUGAAUUAAAUUAAAAUGUUUAUAUGAAGGCCAUGUUUUUCCAAUUAUUUUUCUCAAGGUGGCGUAAUCAAAUGGCCCACCCACACGGCUAGGCCAUCCCUGCCCCACUCACAACAUAUAGGGAUGCAUCUAGUAUCUAGUAACUAUGGUAUGCCCUGAUUUAAGUUUGAAUGAUGUACUUAUCACCCCUCCUUCUCCCCCCACUCAUAUCUGCUCCCACCUUGGACCCCCAGGAUCUGGUUGUAGUUCGCGAUGUGAAUUUUCUAGUAAUUAGGACUUUAGUGCUUGUGAUUUGCAUUUUAUUUUGGUUGUGUGGGCUGAGGCCUCCAGCAGCUCCGAUAUAUAUAAUUAUUCGAGCGGUAGCACACGGGAUUAGUGGUGACGCGGUGUUCUAGCGGAGGCUCCUAGGUGGCUGGGGUAUGGUGGAACUCAGUGUCCAGGGGAGCGAGGCUAGCGAGGCCCUUGAAUCAGGCUAGCAAUCGGGUCGAGUUUCACCGGGCCGACCUCUACCAAACCCAUGCCUGAAUAGCUAAUAGGAUGGCGGUGGUGGGUGAUUUAUUGCAACUUCAGGGGCAAGGAAGAUCAGGAGAGACAUGCAGAACAUCAAUCUCUUUAUCUGUGUUCAAGAAAAAAGUUGCUAAGCGACUAAUAAGUGUUGAGCUAUGGAAAAUGCUUCGCUUUAGACCUAAGUGGUAGAUUAAGCGUAUUUGAUAAUUUUGGCCAGAAUUUGGCUAUUUUUGAACUGCUUCUGCUUAGCUGCUUGCACAAUAAUGGUAGUAUGUCAUUUAUGUUAUUAUUAGGGUCUGUAUGGGCGUUAUUUCCUUCAGAUUCUGGCCAAAUCAUAGAAAGAUGAUCUGCAUUUGGCUAUGUCUAUUUGAACUGAACUACAUUUAGUUGUCAUUUUUCUUCCUGUGUGACCAUGAUGUGUAUUUGCUAUGUUGUGAAGGUCAUUUUAGAUGCUACUUCAACUACCUGUGUGCCAUGUUUCCUAUUUUCCGGUGCAUACUAUUCAAAACAGUGAAAUUCUGGCCAAGUUUGAGAAAAUGCUCAAGCGCGCUUAAGCGCCCAUUGCUCUAUGUUGUGACCUUCCACUUUUAUGAACAUCACCCUUUAUUAGUAGGUAUAGAAAUACGCCUAGAUUGGUGAUUGUUCCUUGUUCUAGGGAGAAAUUUCUAUGAUGAUGUUGUCUAAAGAUUUAUGCUCUUGUGAUGUUUACUUGUGUUUGUUGAUUGGUUUUUACAAGCUAUAGCUGUUAGGAAUCUAUGGGUUGGAGGAAUUAGUCCGUCUAUCUCAACGCAGGAGGUAGAGGGGGAGUUUCAAAAGUUUGGAAAGAUUGAAGGUGUUGCAUUCUCCCAUGAUCAAACUUCUGCAUACAUCAACUUUGAGAAGCUGGAAGUUGCCAUUUUUUAUCAUAGAGCCUUUAAUGGGAUGGAUUUUGGGGGCAAGGAAUUGUGUGUUGAUUCUUGGAGGUCCAGAGGAGGAGCAGUAUGCAUCUAUUAUUGUUGACUGAGUCUGUGAAAUGUUUCUAGGCUGCGGUUUUUCACGGGACGUUGCCAAAUUAUUUAGUUGUUUGUACUAAUAUUGUUAUGAACAGUCAAAAGCAGGCAACUUCAACAGUAGAGGAUCAUUGCCCCCGGGUGAAAUGGGAGUUGGACAUGCAAAGGGUUCUGCUGGAGUAUGAAUGAGAGAGGCAAAAAUUCCUACCAAUGUUCUCUAGGUGGAUUUACCCAAUACACAUAAAGGUAACGAGGAGGCACUAAGGCAGGCUAUGGUAGCACAUGGUGUCGUUACAAACAUCAAAGUUUUUCCAGAAAGGUGGUAUGCGUUUGUGGAGUUUGCAACAAUUGAAGGAGCAUCUAAUGCUAAGAACCUUCUAGAUGGGCGUCUUAUCAAUAAUACAAAGAUUCAUGUUCUUUCCUGCAGCAAGGGGCUUGAUAACCUGACAAUGUUUCUGCCAAUAGAGCCUUGAAUGGGGCAGAUUUAGGGGGCAAGGAAUUGUGUAUUGAUUUCCAAAGGUCCACAGGAAGAGUGGAAUGGUUAGAAGCAGGCACAUUCAAUAGCAGAGGAUCAUUGCUAGCCGGUGAAAUGGGAGUUGGACAUGCAAAUGGUUCUGCUAGAGUACGAAUAAGAGAGGCAAAAAUUCCGACCAAUGUUCAACGGGUGGGUUUACCCAAUACACAUGAAGUAAACGAGGAGGCACUAAGGCAGGCUAUGGCAGCAGAUGGUGUGGUUACAAACAUCAAAGUUUUUCCAGAAAGGCGGUAUGCUUUUGUGGAGUUUGCAACCAUUGAAGGAGCUUCUAAUGCUAAAAAUCUUCUAGAUGGGCGUCUUUUCAAUAAUAGAAGGAUUCAUGUUCUUUUCUCUUGCUGUGGGAUUGAUAACCUAACACCUCUUGUUGGGUUCCCUAGAUCAGACAUGUACAAUGAUAGUCCACAUGUCGCAUGUGAUUAUUUUGGUCCUGGUCGCAGUAGUCAUGACACAUCUAAAGGGUAUGAUCCUUGAUGUGGAAGGUCAAAAUAAUUGGACUUCGGUGCAAUGCCAAUCACUGGUGGUAUCCUUCCAGCACCUGAAGCUGUCUCAUCCUUGUUGUUUGGACAUUCUGCUCAUAGUGCACUUGAUCUGAGAGAAGCCAAAAGGGUGAGGCUAGAUGCUGUCAUCGACCCUUAUACCAUGUAAGGGCAGGCACUAAGGAUCUUUAGUCGAGUCAGGAGGCAGACGAAGAGUUCCAAGGAUUGGAAAGUUUGAAGGUGUUGAAUUCUCCAUUGGCAUACUUUUGCAUACAUCGACUCUGAGUAGCUGGAUGAUGCCAUUUCUUCCUAUAAAAUUGUGAAUGGGACAUAUUUUAUAUUCCUCUUUGGCGUAUAGUUUGGAGGGAUAGAAUUCAAAUCCAUAUGGGUUAGUGAAACAUGAUUAAUAAAACAUUAACAUAAACAACAAUGUGCCUUCUUGUAUGAUGUAUAGAAAUGUUGUAACCACACUUACAUAAAAUUAUGAUUAUUUGUGUUUCUC